rnacentral:rRNA from 1 species
GUAAUGCUUAGGAAUCUGCCUAUUAGUGGGGGACAACAUCUCGAAAGGGAUGCUAAUACCGCAUACGUCCUACGGGAGAAAGCAGGGGACCUUCGGGCCUUGCGCCAAUAGAUGAGCCUAAGUCGGAUUAGCUAGUUGGUGGGGUAAAGGCCUACCAAGGCGACGAUCUGUAGCGGGUCUGAGAGGAUGAUCCGCCACACUGGGACUGAGACACGGCCCAGACUCCUACGGGAGGCAGCAGUGGGGAAUAUUGGACAAUGGGGGGAACCCUGAUCCAGCCAUGCCGCGUGUGUGAAGAAGGCCUUUUGGUUGUAAAGCACUUUAAGCGAGGAGGAGGCUACCGAGAUUAGUACUCUUGGAUAGUGGACGUUACUCGCAGAAUAAGCACCGGCUAACUCUGUGCCAGCAGCCGCGGUAAUACAGAGGGUGCAAGCGUUAAUCGGAUUUACUGGGCGUAAAGCGCGCGUAGGUGGCCAAUUAAGUCAAAUGUGAAAUCCCCGAGCUUAACUUGGGAAUUGCAUUCGAUACUGGUUGGCUAGAGUAUGGGAGAGGAUGGUAGAAUUCCAGGUGUAGCGGUGAAAUGCGUAGAGAUCUGGAGGAAUACCGAUGGCGAAGGCAGCCAUCUGGCCUAAUACUGACACUGAGGUG